UACAGAGGUCUCAAGCGUUGUUCGGGAUUCAUUGGGCGUAAAGGGUGCGUAGGCGGCGCGGUAAGUCGGGUGUGAAAUCUCGGGGCUUAACUCCGAAACUGCAUUCGAUACUGCCGUGCUUGAGGACUGGAGAGGAGACUGGAAUUUACGGUGUAGCGGUGAAAUGCGUAGAUAUCGUAAGGAAGACCAGUGGCGAAGGCGGGUCUCUGGACAGUUCCUGACGCUGAGGCACGAAGGUCCAGGGGAGCAAACGGG
rnacentral:rRNA from 1 species